CUGUAAUAGCUGGCUUCUCAAAUGUAGCUUCCAAGCGUCAAGAUCAUGCUGUGUUUUUUGCUCUAUCAAUGAAAUUCCUUGAUGCUUGAAGUCAUGCAGUCUCAAAUUCGCUUAGCAGAAUAUAUGUUCUCACCUAAGAGUUUCAGUUUUGCCCAGAAUGUCUUGUAGAAAUCUGAGUGUCCACCACUUUUGCUUCAUGCUUUCUCUUACCUCUGGGCUUUGAUCUGGAUGAUCGGGUCUUUGUUUGCUUAACAGUGUGCUCUGGGAUGUUUAUCACUGCCUUUUCAGUAGAAGGUAGUUCAGGAGGAACAUCUGGCCAUGGCGUUCGUUUUGAUGGGACCGUAAUUUCCAAAGGUGGGUCGAUUAUCCAUCCUGGAGGAAAUUUGCUAUC
rnacentral:misc_RNA from 1 species